GAUGAACGCUGGCGGCGUGCCUAAUACAUGCAAGUCGAGCGAACAGACGAGGAGCUUGCUCCUCUGACGCUAGCGGCGGACGGGUGAGUAACACGUGGAUAACCUCCCUAUAAGACUGGGAUAACUUCGGGAAACCGGAGCUAUUACCGGAUAAUAUAUUGAACCGCAUGGUUCAAUAGUGAAAGACGGUUUUGCUGUCACUUAUAGAUGGAUCCCCGCCGCAUUAGCUAGUUGGUAAGGUAACGGCUUACCAAGGCGACGAUGUGUAGCCGACCUGAGAGGGUGAUCGGCCACACUGGAACUGAGACACGGUCCAGACGCCUACGGGAGGCAGCAGUAGGGAAUCGUCCGCAAUGGGCGAAAGCCUGACGGAGCAACGCCGCGUGAGUGAUGAAGGUCUACGGAUCGUAAAACUCUGUUAUUAGGGAAGAACAAAUGUGUAAGUAACUAUGCACGUCUUGACGGUACCUAAUCAGAAAGCCACGGCUAACUACGUG
rnacentral:rRNA from 1 species